rnacentral:tRNA from 1 species
GUGGCUGUGGUGCAGUGGUUAGCACGUCUGACUGUGGAUCAGAAGGUCGUGGGUUCAAAUCCCACCAGCCACCCCA